UACCAGCUCUCCGAGUGGUGUGGAUGUUUAUUGGGCCUAAAGCAUCCGUAGCUGGCUGGACAAGUCCCCUGUUAAAUCCACCGAUUUAAUCGUUGGUGUGCGGGGGAUACUAUUCGGCUAGGGGACGGGAGAGGCAGACGGUAUUUUCGGGGUAGGGGUGAAAUCCUAUAAUCCCGGGAAGACCACCAGUGGCGAAGGCUGUCUGCUAGAACGCGCCCGACGGUGAGGGAUGAAAGCUGGGGGAGCGAACCGGAUUAGAUACCCGGGUAGUCCCAGCUGUAAACGAUGCAGGCUAGGUGUUUGGAUGGCCACGUGCCGUUCUAGUGCCGCAGGGAAGCCGUUAAGCCUGCCGCCUGGGGAGUACGGCCGCAAGGCUGAAACUUAAAGGAAUUGGCGGGGAGCACCACAAGGGGUGAAGCUUGCGGUUU
rnacentral:rRNA from 1 species